rfam:Porphyromonadaceae bacterium OTH 308042 contig44, whole genome shotgun sequence.
AUGUUUCUUCGGGGCAGGGUGCAAUCCCCUACCGGCGGUAAUAGUCCGCGACUCUCCUUUAGGAGACUGAUUUGGUGCGAUUCCAAAACCGACGGUUAAAGUCCGGAUGAUAGAAGAAAUGU